AAACUACCCGUCUAUUGAACGACUCAUUGAUUCUUCUGAGGUGAAUCCGCUUAGAGCCAAAUGGCUAUAGGAAAUCAGUUCAUAUAUUCUGGCUGAAGGCAAUUCGGAAUGAGACUGCUUCCUUCAGGAUUUAACACAGGAACCUAUGUCCCUAAUCCCAGUGAAUGUGGAGGGGUGAUUGUACUUCCAGAAAGGGAGUUGAAUUAUGCUACCAUUCGUGGAGAACACCAGGUUUUGCUAGUGAAUCACAUUAUGAAAUCUGCAACCAUGAAAGACCCAUUUGUUGCAUUAUCCAUAAAAGAAAUAAAAGUGAUAACUAACAUGGAAGCUAAACUGGAGGCUAAUAAUGAAGGAGUCCGUAAAGGAGGCCAGUGCCACCAGGGUUAUCUCCUAGCUCCAGAUGCUGGAUAA
rnacentral:lncRNA from 1 species